GACGAACGCUGGCGGCGUGCCUAAUACAUGCAAGUCGAGCGGAUCUUCAUUAGCUUACUUUUGAAGGUCAGCGGCGAACGGGUGAGUAACACGUGGGCAACCUGCCUGUAAGACUGGGAUAACUUCGGGAAACCGGAGCUAAUACCGGAUAAUCCUUUUCCUCUCAUGGGGAAAAGCUGAAAGACGGUUUCGGCUGUCACUUACAGAUUGGCCCGCGGCGCAUUAGCUAGUUGGUGAGGUAACGGCUCACCAAGGCGACGAUGCGUAGCCGACCUGGGAGGGUGAGCGGCAACACUGGGACUGAGACACGGCCCAGACUCCUACGGGAGGCAGCAGUAGGGAAUCUUCCGCAAUGGACGAAAGUCUGACGGAGCAACGCCGCGUGAGCGAUGAAGGCCUUCGGGUCGUAAAGCUCUGUUGUCAGGGAAGAACAAGUACCGGAGUAACUGCCGGUACCUUGACGGUACCUGACCAGAAAGCCACGGCUAACUACGUGCCAGCCGCCGUAAUAC
rnacentral:rRNA from 1 species